GGGGGUGUACUGGUUUCGACGGGAGUCAUGUAUAUUGGGGCAGCCAUCCGCAGAUUCCGGAGCUGCGUAAAAAUCUGGAACUUAAAUAUAAACGCAGAAGAUAAUUUUGCAUUUGCUGCUUAAUUAAAAGCAGCUGUCUCUCUUAGAUAACCCACGGUCUAAGAAGAGGCAUCGACUAGUGGGCAACUUUCUCUCCUAAGCUUUGCGGAGAAGAUCGUAUCUAUGAAGCUACUGAGGUUUGAAGCCUGUCGUUAGGCGUCUUACCGAGGGAAAUCCAAAGUAACGACUAUGAUGGAAGAGACCACGAUAUAUGGGCUUUCGGACGGGGGUUCGAUUCCCCCCACCUCCACCA
rnacentral:tmRNA from 1 species